UACGAAGGGGGCUAGCGUUGCUCGGAAUUACUGGGCGUAAAGGGCGCGUAGGCGGAUGUUUAAGUCGGGGGUGAAAGCCCAGGGCUCAACCCUGGAAUUGCCUUCGAUACUGGACAUCUUGAGUGCGGGAGAGGUGAGUGGAACUCCGAGUGUAGAGGUGAAAUUCGUAGAUAUUCGGAAGAACACCAGUGGCGAAGGCGACUCACUGGCCCGUUACUGACGCUGAUGCGCGAAAGCGUGGGGAGCAAACAGGGAUUAAGAAACCC
rnacentral:rRNA from 1 species